AUUGAACGCUGGCGGCAGGCCUAACACAUGCAAGUCGAACGAGUGGCGGACGGGUGAGUAAUGUCUGGGAAACUGCCUGAUGGAGGGGGAUAACUACUGGAAACGGUAGCUAAUACCGCAUACCAUCAGAUGUGCCCAGAUGGGAUUAGCUUGUUGGUGGGGUAACGGUUCACCAAGGCGACGAUCCCUAGCUGGUCUGAGAGGAUGACCGGCCACACUGGACGUGAGGCACGGUCCAGAGUCCUACGGGAGGCAGAAGUGGGAAAUAUUGCACAAUGGGCGAAAUCCUGAUGCAGCAAUGCCGCGUGGAUGAGGAAGGCCUUCGGGUUGUAAAGUACUUUCGGCGGGGAGGCGUUACCCGCAGAAGAAGCACCGGCUAACUCCGUGCCAGCAGCCGCGGUAAUUC
rnacentral:rRNA from 1 species